rnacentral:rRNA from 1 species
AGAGUUUGAUCCUGGCUCAGGACGAACGCUGGCGGCGCGCUUAACACAUGCAAGUCGUACGAAGACAUCAGCUUCGGUUGGUGUUUUAGUGGCGCACGGGUGAGUAACGCGUGGGAACCUACCUUAAGGUACGGGACAACAGUUGGGAACGGCUGCUAAUACCGUAUGUGCCCCUCGGGGGAAAGAUUUAUCGCCUUAGGAUGGGCCCGCGUUGGAUUAGCUUGUUGGUGGGGUAAAGGCCUACCAAGGCUACGAUCUAUAGCUGGUUUGAGAGGAUGAUCAGCCACACUGGGACUGAGACACGGCCCAGACUCCUACGGGAGGCAGCAGUGAGGAAUCUUGGACAAUGGGGGAAACCCUGAUCCAGCGACGCCGCGUGGGUGAUGAAGGCCUUCGGGUUGUAAACCCCUUUUAUCUGUGAAGAUGAUGACGGUAGCAGAUGAAUAAGCACCGGCUAACUCCGUGCCAGCAGCCGCGGUAAUAAGGGCGA